rnacentral:rRNA from 1 species
AGAGUUUGAUCCUGGCUCAGAGUGAACGCUGGCGGCAUGCCUAACACAUGCAAGUCGAACGGUAACAGGCCCGCAAGGGUGCUGACGAGUGGCGGACGGGUGAGGAAUACAUCGGAAUUUGCCCAGUCGUGGGGGAUAACGUAGGGAAACUUACGCUAAUACCGCAUACGACCUUUUGGUGAAAGCGGGGGAUCAGCAAUGACCUCGCGCGGAUGGAUAAGCCGAUGUCGGAUUAGCUAGUUGGCGGGGUAAGAGCCCACCAAGGCGACGAUCCGUAGCUGGUCUGAGAGGAUGAUCAGCCACACUGGGACUGAGACACGGCCCAGACUCCUACGGGAGGCAGCAGUGGGGAAUAUUGGACAAUGGGGGCAAGCCUGAUCCAGCCAUGCCGCGUGUGUGAUGACGGCCUUCGGGUUGUAAA